UACGAAGGGGGCUAGCGUUGUUCGGAAUUACUGGGCGUAAAGCGCACGUAGGCGGAUACUUAAGUCAGGGGGUGAAAUCCCGGGGCUCAACCCCGGAACUGCCUUUGAUACUGGGUAUCUCGAGUCCGGAAGAGGUGAGUGGAAUUCCGAGUGUAGAGGUGAAAAUUCGUAGAUAUUCGGAGGAACACCAGUGGCGAAGGCGGCUCACUGGUCCGGUACUGACGCUGAGGUGCGAAAGCGUGGGGAGCAAACAGGG
rnacentral:rRNA from 1 species